rnacentral:rRNA from 1 species
AACGAACGCUGGCGGCAUGCCUAACACAUGCAAGUCGAACGAGACCUUCGGGUCUAGUGGCGCACGGGUGCGUAACGCGUGGGAACCUGCCCUUAGGUUCGGAAUAACUCCCCGAAAGGGGUGCUAAUACCGGAUAAUGUCUUCGGACCAAAGAUUUAUCGCCUUUGGAUGGGCCCGCGUUGGAUUAGCUAGUUGGUAGGGUAAAAGCCUACCAAGGCGACGAUCCAUAGCUGGUCUGAGAGGAUGAUCAGCCACACUGGGACUGGGACCCGGCCCAGACUCCUACGGGAGGCAGCAGUGGGGAAUAUUGGACACUGGGCGAAAGCCUGAUCCAGCAAGGCCGCGUGAGUGAUGAAGGCCUUAGGGUUGUAAAGCUCUUUUACCCGGGAUGAUAAUGACGGUACCGGGAGAAUAAGCUCCGGCUACCUCCUU